AGUUGAUAGAGGAAAGUAGAAUUUCUAGUGUAGAGGUCGAAAUUCGUAGAUAUUUAGAAAGAAUACCAAUUGCGAAGGCAGCUUUCUGGAUCAUUACUGACACUGAGGAACGAAAGCAUGGGUAGCGAAGAGGAUUAGAUACCCCUGUAGUCCUGGCCGUAAACGAUGAACACUAGGUGUCCGGGGGAAUCGACCCCUUCGGUGUCGUAGCUAACGCGUUAAGUGUUCCGCCUGGGGAGUACGCACGCAAGUGUGAAACUCAAAGGAAUUGACGGGGACCCGCACAAGCAGUGGAGCAUGUGGUUUAAUUCGAAGAUACGCGCAGAACCUUACCAACACUUGACAUGUUCGUCGCGAGCCUAAGAGAUUAGGCUUUUCAGUUCGGCUGGACGAAACACAGGUGCUGCAUGGCU
rnacentral:rRNA from 1 species